ACAGCACAUACAGUCAGAGAAUCAAUUUCUUGACAAAAAGGAUUUUAUGUUGAAGAUCCAGUAAUCGACUUCCGUUACUUUGCCGCCUGUCGCUGUGGGACUUGAUGCUGCUGCUACUUCGGGGCCGCAGACAAAAGCGUCUUUCCGUGGGAAAGACUUGAGAAUCUAACAAAAGGCAAACGCACACCUACAGAAACACGUUUGAUCGAGAGCCCUUCGAUACAGCGUCCAAAAUGGCCAGGUGCACCAUAUGGAGAUCAAAGGAUUGGAAUUAAUCACAUGAAAUCCUCCAAGAAAGAAGGACUCUGAACAAAGCCAGAGAACCUUGAUUGCACAGCUGAGAGCUGGGAUUCUGCCUCUGGACAUUGAGAUUAAAACCAUCAUAUAAGCCACCUCAAAGAACUGACUGUGCAGACAUUUUGCAUGUGCAUGCUGCCAUCUUCACUGCACCUGUUAGUGACAAUAAGAGAGAGGGUUUUGUCAAAGUCAGGACCAGGAGGGGGGAGAAGACAUCUCUUCAUGUGCAAUAGAGUUGAAUGUCACUGUAAAUGCCAACAUUAGUGCAAAUGCUUGGCUCAGAUUUGUUGCCUCCAUGACAGGAAAUGUUUCUUCCAGUGCAAAGAUAUUGAUUUCAGUCUCUUUCAAACUCAGCAGCCCGCCUCACUGCAUGACAGAUAAUUGGUUUUCCAACAGGUCUUAGGUAGCAUGAUAAACCCUACAACAUGUAAACAUGCAUAUGCGCAUCAUUUCAUUGCUUCAUUAUUUGUAUUUUUUUAAGAAUGGGAUUGUUUCACUGGCUUGUUUUUUUUAAUACAAAAAUAAUUACAACAAUUGAUCUGUUGUUGCGGUAAAUACAUAUGGUCUCUCUGUGUGUUUGUGCAGUCAUGCACGCAAAUGUUAGGAUGAUUGUAGCUAUGAAAAAAAGAUGCUCCAUUUGUGACAUUUACGCUAUCAUUAAAUAAUCAGUUUAUUGCACACAAAAUAGAAAUGUCUUUUUUGUUGUUGUUACUCAGUGCCUUUUGCUGAUGUGUACAUGUAUAGAGUUGAGUGAGAGCUUCAGUAUCUCCAGGUAAAGCAUUCAUAUGUGGACCCGACUAGAAAACAACAAAUACACCAACUGGCUAAACUGAGGAUUAGUCCACCGUGGGAAGAAAGGGAUCAGUCCAAAAAAUUAAAAAUCAAUGUACUGUUUCUA